rnacentral:rRNA from 1 species
AGUGAACGCUGGCGGUAGGCCUAACACAUGCCAGUCGAACGGCAGCACAGUAAGAGCUUGCUCUUACGGGUGGCGAGUGGCUGACGGGUGAGGAAUACAUCGGAAUCUACUUUUUCGUGGGGGAUAACGUAGGGAAACUUACGCUAAUACCGCAUACGACCUACGGGUGAAAGCAGGGGAUCUUCGGACCUUGCGCGAUUGAAUGAGCCGAUGUCGGAUUAGCUAGUUGGCGGGGUAAAGGCCCACCAAGGCGACGAUCCGUAGCUGGUCUGAGAGGAUGAUCAGCCACACUGGAACUGAGACACGGUCCAGACUCCUACGGGAGGCAGCAGUGGGGAAUAUUGGACAAUGGGCGCAAGCCUGAUCCAGCCAUACCGCGUGGGUGAAGAAGGCCUUCGGGUUGUAAAGCCCUUUUGUUGGGAAAGAAAAGCAGCAGGUUAAUACCCCGCUGUUCUGACGGUACCCAAAGAAUAAGCACCGGCUAACUUCGUG